AAAUAAACAGACAUACGAUAUGUAUAAUAAAUAUCUUUAGGUGAAAGUAUUUGUAGAGAAACAGUCUGGUAGAAAAUUUACGGAGUUCAAGGCCAUUUCAUUUCGCUCUCAAGUGGUAGAAGGAGUGAAUUACAUUAUUAAAGUAUGUGUUGGUGAUGGUCAAAAUGAUUACAUAAUGUUGCGUGUCCAUGAGAAUCUUGAUGGAGGGGUAACUCUCCUUGCCUACCAAUUGGACAAGACAAAGGAUGACCCAAUUCUGAUUAAUUUCUGAUCAUUAUUUUUUGCUGUUACAUACAUGUAACUGAUUUAAUCAAUUCUAAAUUCUAAAUGUCAUUACCUGUGUACUUAAGAGCUGUACUACUUAUGCUGAAAA